AUAUUAUCAACAACAAUAGAGAAUUGACAGAAUUAGAGAUAGAAUUAUUAAUGU
rnacentral:guide_RNA from 1 species